AGAAUAUGAAAUCAUAGAGCCAUAGUACUCAAGGAAUAGCAAGCAUGUGAAGAAUAAAGUGCGGAAAAGUGAGACGUGACAAGGGUCAUUUAAGUAAGCAGAAAUCUUCUCGUAUCUCAACUUUUACCUUCUACCAGAGGAGUCGAACUUAGGCAUCUGAGCGAUACGAGUCAUCCGAGUCUCUGAUAUGUCAGAAAGUAAAGGCAAAGGUCAUUUGCCAUUUACUGUCCGAACCGGCAAAAGUAAAGUUACGAGAAGUUGUCUGCUCACGACGGUUUCUCACACAAUGUGUUUCAUUGUGUUGAUAUUUUCUCAUACAGUUAGUUGUAACACCGGAAUGGAAGAUUUGUCCGAAACUAUUGCUUGAAUGCCUGGAGUGCCUUUCCUUGCUCUUCCUUGAGUACUAUGGCUCUAUGAUUCCAUAUUCUUUCUCCUCUUAUAAUCUCUAGUUAGUUUGAUAUCGUUAUAAAACCGAAAAAAUAAUUUCUAAAGUUGCCUCAAAACUAUUCCAAUAAUUCCUUGUUCUUGGGUUUUUGAUGAACGACUGAAGAUUGUAGCCAUGGACUCAAAAUGGAUCCCAGUCACUUUUCCCGAACCAAUUUUGAUUAUACCGGUUCCCAGAUUCCGGUUUCGGAAGUACCUCUUUUCGUUUCCUCAGAGAUGGCCUAACCGACCUGAGUACUUUUUCACUCUAUAGUUUAUACUAGUUUAUGGACAAACCUUUCUGUUUGUCAAGAGAGUUAAAUAAAAUUAUUCUACACUGAGAAAAAAGUUAUAGUAAUCGUAACCUGUUUUUCAUGGUCAAUUCAACUAUACGCUUAAAUAGUAGCAACGACCAUGAUAUUAGAAUAUUCACCAUCUAUAUUGUAUAAAGUAAUAGAUAACAAAGUCAACAACUUGACUAGACAAUUUGUAUUUAUGACUUUUAUGGCGUGGUCAAUAUGACAAUGGUUGUCAUCUUUAAAAAAUGAACAAAUAGUUAAAAUGACAAUCAGAAGCGAGGCUAAAUUGUUCUUGGACACAAUAAUUUCGAGAAGCAAAAUAGUGAUUGCUACCAUAUAAGUAUGUUCUUUGGAACAAUAUAGGAAUGUUAAUGAGAUUUAAUAUAAAGUUGGCUAGACGAGUGUGAAGUAUGAAAGCACUUUUCAUGUUGUUUGCAUCAACAGAAUAUAUGUAGGAAACUCAUUAUCGUAUAGUUUUUUUUUUUUCAAUCGACUAUGUAUUCCAUUUUUGUUGACAACAGUAAUAAGCGCAUUUACUUCAUAAUCGGUAUAUGAAGAUUCAUUGUAGCGUUGACGUUGACAACAAAAUAGUGAUAGUGCUUUAUUAACAUUGGCUUUGGUAUUGUAGGGAAGUCGCAUAAUUAUGCAAAUGCGCGUCUCGUAAUCAAAUCAUUAGUAUAUUUCGGUCGUAGACAAACGGAAUCAAGCGCAUCAUAAAUGAAAUAGCAAAUCAGGUUGCCUUCCUGUAUCCUAAUGGCUCGAGGCCGACGUAAAUGAUAGCAAAAUAACGAUGGCGGGUGCUGAAAGGGCUGUAUGCUGGUUUGCAUGUAGACUCGGCUGUUGAUUAUGUUCGAGCUGCUCCAGGGAAAACCCUACCGGAAAAUCAUCUAGCUCCCUGGAUCAGCUGCUAGUAAAUGAUGCUUCUCCGCUUCAAUGUUGCUUAUGAAAAUUUCACGAGAGAACGCUGUAAUGAGUGGAACAGUUUUGAUCCGAUGUCACCACUUGAGUUUCCCAGAAGGAUUAUGUCGAUCUGCGGACGUGAAACUCCUAUCAAAUGAAUUUGACAUUUCUCCCACCUACUUGUAUGUACAAGAUUCGAUGUGGACUCGCUUGAGGGUACCAUGCUUGCAAAAAAGGCGAUCUGAAUUGAGCAAACAUCAGCAGUGGAAACAACAGCGGUGCGGUGGCAGUACUACGGAUGGUAGCGAUUUACACCUCAACAUGACUCCACGAUGAUUUAUGUUACUCCGAGGUGUCAAUGUAAGCAGCGACGUUAUAUCAAUACUAUUGUAAAAAAC